UUUGUCCAUAGUCAUGUAUUAAAAUCAAAUGACUGUAUUUAACCACAAAAAUUGUACUGUAUUUUGGAUGUCAAAAAACCUCCUACAAUUAUUAAAACCAGACUCUGUGAGGCCAAAUAUUUAAAAUGCAUUUCUAAUGGCAAAAAAAAGAACAACAUGUAUUCAGUUCCAACUAUGUAAAAGUAGAUUGGUUUUAAAAAUUAGAAUAUUUACAGAAUGUUAUACAAAAUAGAAAAUCUUUAUACCUUAGAAGAUCUUCAUGGUGUCUUGGAUAGAUCACUGACAAGUAAUACUUACGCAGAUCACUUCCUCCCCAAGGCUUCAGCCUGCCAAUGGAAAGAGGUAAGUGUUGAACUUACUAACCAAGUUCUCUUCUAGUUGCAAACUCCAGAAUAUGAUGAUUUAUGCAUGCAAAGCACUUACACUUCUACUUAUUGCCCGAACCUUUCUCUGAAAAGAAAAAGAAAUUGACUGGCAUCAAACCAAAAAGUCUACUGACUCAAUGUUUCAGCUGAGCCUAGUGACUCCUGAGCACUGAGCCAUCACUUCAACAACAUCUCCAACUAUCAAAGAGGACAACUAUAAACAGAAGUCCCACCAAAACGCACAGGAGCAGAAUAUGCACUUUUUUACCUGUUGACUCUGUCUCUUUAAUUUUCAUACUACUUUAUCAGAAGAUUCACCUGUAGUCAAAAGCCACCUAUUCACAAACACAACUGACUGAUUCAGAGCAUUGAUUCCAUAAUGUUAUAUGGCAUAGAAUUAUAUGCCCUGGAGAAUUCCUCCCUGAAGAACGUGAAAUCACUUCAUAGAGACCUUCCUGUAUUUUUGUGUGAUAACUAACGAGGCUUAAACUUGGCCCCUCGGGUGAGAAAGCUCAAGAGCACAAACAUGGAGCAGCACUCCUUCUUAUGUCUAUGGGGAAUGAGCACCUCUUCCCACAAGAGACUCAAUUCCACCGUGACACCUCCCAGUAGGAGGUGAGAGCAGA
rnacentral:lncRNA from 1 species